GAGCUCUUGGCGAUUCUCCUGCAGGAUCCCUCUGGUUACAUAGUAGACGCAGAACACUGAGAAGGAGAAAGGCAGUGGAAGAAGGCACUUUUGGAACCAGAUAUCACUCAAAGGAGACCAGGGAUGACCAGAAGUACUAUGCACGUUGACCUGCCCAAAUUCUGUGAUGGGUUAGAGCAUAAGAAAUUUAAACCGGAGCUGACAGUGUGUGCACAGCCGUCUGGCCAAGCGAUGGCAUCUUCAGUGGCGUGAUGCAGUGCGUCUAGGCUACCGCUGAACCUGGGCAGC